GUGUCAGCCGCCGCGGUAAUACGGAAGGUCCAGGCGUUAUCCGGAUUUAUUGGGUUUAAAGGGAGCGUAGGCGGAUUGUUAAGUCAGCGGUUAAAGGGUGUGGCUCAACCAUACAUUGCCGUUGAAACUGGCGAUCUUGAGUGCAGACAGGGAUGCCGGAAUUCGUGGUGUAGCGGUGAAAUGCUUAGAUAUCACGAAGAACUCCGAUCGCGAAGGCAGGUGUCCGGGCUGCAACUGACGCUGAGGCUCGAAAGUGUGGGUAUCAAACAGGAUUAGAUACCCCGGUAGUCC
rnacentral:rRNA from 1 species